UGGGGAAUCUUGGACAAUGGGCGCAAGCCUGAUCCAGCGACGCCGCGUGGGUGAUGAAGGCCUUCGGGUUGUAAAGCCCUUUUGCCGGGGACGAUGAUGACGGUACCCGGAGAAUAAGGACCGGCUAACUCCGUGCCAGCAGCCGCGGUAAGACGGAGGGUCCUAGCGUUGUUCGGAAUUACUGGGCGUAAAGGGCGCGUAGGCGGCCUGUUAAGUCGGGUGUGAAAGCCCGGGGCUCAACCCCGGAACGGCACCCGAGACUGGCAGGCUCGAGACCGGGAGAGGAGGGUGGAAUACCCAGUGUAGAGGUGAAAUUCGUAGAUAUUGGGUGGAACACCGGUGGCGAAAGCGGCUCUCUGGCCCGGAUCUGACGCUGAGGCGCGAAAGCGUGGGGAGCAAACA
rnacentral:rRNA from 1 species